GAUGAACGCUGACAGAAUGCUUAACACAUGCAAGUCUUUGGCGAAGCUGUGCUUGCACAGCCUAGCCAAGGCGGACGGGUGAGUAACGCGUAAGGAACUUGCCCUGCAGUCAGGGAUAACAGACGGAAACGACUGAUAAGACCUGGUAAAGUCAGGCGGACUCAUGUCCAGCCUGAUGAAAAGAGAUGCUGCAGGAGAGCCUUGCGUCCUAUUAGCUUGUUGGUGGGGUAACGGCCCACCAAGGCGAUGAUAGGUAGCCGGCCUGAGAGGGUGGACGGCCACAAGGGGACUGAGAUCCGGCCCUUACUCCUCCGGGAGGCAGCAGUGGGGAAUAUUGGACAAUGGGGGCAACCCUGAUCCAGCAAUUCUGUGUGCACGAUGAAGGUUUUCGGAUUGUAAAGUGCUUUCAGCAGGGAAGAAAAAAAUGACGGUACCUGCAGAAGAAGCGACGGCUAAAUACGUG
rnacentral:rRNA from 1 species